CCUCCUCUCCCCCUUGGUCUUGACCCCCGUCUCCCCCUUCCUCUUUCCUGUCUACCGGUAAUAUCUUUAUGGAGAGAGGUAGGUUGACUGAUUGCAGCCUCAUAAGCAAUCUUAUAAAUAUUUCUAUUAAACAUUGUCAUCCAUAAGAUUGCUUCACUUUAUAUUGUUUGUAUUCAGUUAAUAUAUAUUAUUUGUGAGUUAUUUUUUGUGACUUACUUUCUUUUUAAAUGCAUUGUUUACAUACAUACCUCCGUCUAGCCACAUGCCAAAAAUAGCCCUACAGCGAUGUACAGUAGUUUAGCUAGGUAGCUGGGAUAGCACAUUAGCACCUGCAAUAUACAGUUAUAUGUGUGAACUUUUUCAGCAGCUAUUGGCGAACUCACCCUGUACUGUAUGCUUUGCUGUGCGUGUGUGCAGGUAUGUUUUGUUAUUAUUCUUCACUUUACAUGCAUUUUUAUUUUGCCUGUCUAAUAUCUUUAUGGAGAGAGGAGCUAUUGGCGAACUCACCCUGUAUGCUUUGCUGUGCGGCAAGUGUGUAGGAGCUAUUGGCGAACUCACCCUGUAUGCUUUGCUGUGCGUGUGUGCAGAAUAAAACUUCAGCAGUAUCCCGUGCUCGUUUUGGGUUAUCUUUAUUAAUAAUCAACACAACACAGAAGUCUACCC